AGUGAACGCUGGCGGUAGGCCUAACACAUGCAAGUCGAACGGCAGCACAGUAAGAGCUUGCUCUUACGGGUGGCGAGUGGAGGACGGGUGAGGAAUACAUCGGAAUCUACUUUUUCGUGGGGGAUAACGUAGGGAAAAUUACGCUAAUACCGCAUACGACCUACGGGUGAAAGCAGGGGAUCUUCGGACCUUGCGCGAUUGAAUGAGCCGAUGUCGGAUUAGCUGGUUGGCGGGGUAAAGGCCCAUCAAGGGGGCGAUCCGUAGCUGGUCUGAGAGGAUGAACAGCCACACUGGGACUGAGACACGGUCCUGACACCGACGGGAGGCGGAGGUGGGGAAUGUUGGACGAUGGGGGGAAGCCUGAUCCAGCCGUACCAGGUGGGUGAAGAAGGCCUUCGGGUUGGAAAGCCCUUUUGUUGGGAAAGAAAGGCAGCAGGUUAAUACAACGCUGUUCUGACGGUACCCAAAGAAUAAGCACCGGCUAACUUCGUG
rnacentral:rRNA from 1 species